rnacentral:lncRNA from 1 species
CUGUAUCUGUGGGGACGGUUUCCCCUGAUGAUCUAGGGGCUGGCUGGGUCUUGGAACUGGGUGUGUUUCUCUGCCCAGGGCUACUCUCUCUGGGUCUGGGACGUGGAUGUCCCUGGGUGACGGAGUGGUCCAUCCUGAAGGCGCAUGAGGGUAUCUGCACCUCUCCAAACCACCAGGGCACACAGCCAGCUGAGCUCCAGGGUGCCAUUUGCCCAGGCCCUUUCCGUCUGUCUGUGGGAGGGGGAGAUGAGCUGAUAAGGCUUAUCUGCCGUCGCCAGCACCAUGCUGAA